AAGUGGAAAUCGCAGUUGGAGACCCGCAUCCAGAGGGCGAAGAAUCAGGGACGCAUGGGCUCAGGAGGGACUCCGGAAAGUGCUGCCUCUGGACACUAGACUGUGGACUGUGGACUGUGACUGUGGUUAAAGCCCACUUAAUUGACAUUUAGUGGACACUCGAAUGCAAAUGCUACACAGAGUGGACAGAGGAUAUACACUGCAAUAAAAUAAGGCAAAAUAAGGCACAAAUGGAGGAUUAAAUGAAUAACUUCCACGUUCUGCGCAAUGAAUUAUCUGCCAAUAUGUUAGCAGUCAGCCAUCCAUCGAGUGCCCCACGCCCGAGUAUUUAGCAGAAAACUUUCUAACAGCAAAAUGCAUAAGCACAGGCAUAAGCAUCUGCCUGCAUCUGCAUAGUAAAUUGAAUACAUCAGAAACAACUAUAAAUAAUUGCCAGCCAACAACUGCAGGAGGAAAUGAAGAAAUUUUGCCAGAAAUUUUCAUGUACGGAUUGGAGUGCGUGUGUGCGUGUGCGAAUGGCCCAAAGGCGAAGGCUAAUGGCCCCCAAAACGGCCAAGCGACGACGACAAGCAUUUACAAGCUGUGGCCACAAACUGUGCGACGAGAGAGACAAGUGCAAUAGGCCAGCGCAGGUGCUGGCUAGUAUACCCUGCUCAGGAGUACUCUGUCUUGGGAGGUGCACUGUGAUUCGAGGGAGGCGUUUGCAAGUUAAGGAAGGAAGCAUCUUUGAUAGAUCAGAUACCAAGCAGUCGAUAAGGCCACGUCCGAGUCUUCAGAUCCUUGGCAUAUCUUAUGCAGAGCAAGAAUCGCUUAAGGGAUAAGUUUUAGUAGGAAUUUCCACUGAAAUUAAAUCAUUUCUUUUAUUUCAGCAAAUGUUGAGCAAUAUCGGAGCACUAUAUCGUAAAUAGAUGCUACAGGAAUCUCACAUUUGCCCCACUGAUUUUUGGAGCAUUCAUUGGAACCCACAGACCAUACCAGACCAGACCCAACCAGAUCCGCUGCAGCAUCAUUCAAUCUGCCAUCCUGGCAGCCAGUGUGUGUGUG